GUUGUAUAGUCAAGUAAUUAAGUGCAUGUGGUGGAUGCCUUGGCAGUCAGAGGCGAUGAAAGACGUGAUAGCCUGCGAAAAGCUCCGGGGAGGCGGCAAAUAUCCUUUGAUCCGGAGAUGUCUGAAUGGGGGAACCCACCUACUUUAAGGUAGGUAUUGCAACAUGAAUACAUAGUGUUGCAAGGCGAACGAGGGGAAGUGAAACAUCUCAGUACCCUUAGGAAAAGAAAUCAAUUGAGAUUCCCUCAGUAGCGGCGAGCGAACGGGGAUCAGCCCAUUAAGUUAUGUGUGUUUUAGUGGAACGCUCUGGGAAGUGCGAACGUAGAGGGUGAUAUUCCCGUACACGAAAGGGCACACAUAAUGAUGACGAGUAGGGCGAGGCACGUGAAACCUUGUCUGAAUAUGGGGGGACCAUCCUCCAAGGCUAAAUACUCCUGACUGACCGAUAGUGAACCAGUACCGUGAGGGAAAGGCGAAAAGAACCCCUGUGAGGGGAGUGAAAUAGAUCCUGAAACCGCAUGCAUACAAGCAGUGGGAGCACCUUCGUGGUGUGACUGCGUACCUUUUGUAUAAUGGGUCAGCGACUUAUAUUCAGUAGCGAGGUUAACCGUAUAGGGGAGCCGUAGAGAAAUCGAGUCUUAAUAGGGCGUUUAGUUGCUGGGUAUAGACCCGAAACCAGGCGAUCUAUCCAUGAGCAGGUUGAAGGUUGGGUAACACUAACUGGAGGACCGAACCCACUGUCGUUGAAAAGCCAGGGGAUGACUUGUGGAUAGGGGUGAAAGGCUAAUCAAGCCUGGUGAUAGCUGGUUCUCCCCGAAAGCUAUUUAGGUAGCGCCUCGGACGAAUACCAUAGGGGGUAGAGCACUGUUUCGGCUAGGGGGUCAUCCCGACUUACCAAACCGAUGCAAACUCCGAAUACCUAUGAGUACUAUCCGGGAGACAGACUGCGGGUGCUAACGUCCGUAGUCAAGAGGAAAACAAUCCAGACCGCCAGCUAAGGCCCCAAAAUCAUAGUUAAGUGGGAAACGAUGUGGGAAGGCAUAGACAGCUAGGAGGUUGGCUUANNNNNNNNNNNGAAGCAGCCACCCUUUAAAGAAAGCGUAAUAGCUCACUAGUCGAGUCGGCCUGCGCGGAAGAUGUAACGGGGCUAAAACUAUGUGCCGAAGCUGCGGAUGUAUACUUUGUAUACGUGGUAGGGGAGCGUUCUGUAAGCCGAUGAAGGUGUGUUGAGAAGCNNNNNNNNNNNNNNAUGCUGGAGGUAUCAGAAGUGCGAAUGCUGACGUGAGUAACGACAAAACGGGUGAAAAACCCGUUCGCCGAAAGACCAAGGGUUCCAGUCCAACGUUAAUCGGGGCUGGGUGAGUCGACCCCUAAGGCGAGGCCGAAAGGCGUAGUCGAUGGGAAAAUGGUUAAUAUUCCAUUACUUCUGUGUAAUGCGAUGAGAGGACGGAGAAGGCUAAAUCAGCCUGGCGUUGGUUGUCCAGGUGAAAGGAUGUAGGCAUGUAUCUUAGGCAAAUCCGGGGUACUCUAUGCUGAGAUCUGAUAGCAAGCUGUACUUGUACAGCGAAGUGGUUGAUGCCAUGCUUCCAGGAAAAGUCUCUAAGCUUCAGUUACACAGGAAUCGUACCCGAAACCGACACAGGUGGUCAGGUCGAGUAGACCAAGGCGCUUGAGAGAACUCUGCUGAAGGAACUAGGCAAAAUGGUACCGUAACUUCGGGAGAAGGUACGCUGUUGUUGGUGAUGGAACUCGCUUCCUGAGCUGACGACAGCCGCAGAAACCAGGCCGCUGCAACUGUUUAUUAAAAACAUAGCACUCUGCAAACACGAAAGUGGACGUAUAGGGUGUGAUGCCUGCCCGGUGCUGGAAGGUUAAUUGAUGGGGUUAGCGUAAGCGAAGCUCUUGAUCGAAGCCCCAGUAAACGGCGGCCGUAACUAUAACGGUCCUAAGGUAGCGAAAUUCCUUGUCGGGUAAGUUCCGACCUGCACGAAUGGCAUAAUGAUGGCGGCGCUGUCUCCAGCAGAGGCUCAGUGAAAUCGAAAUCGCUGUGAAGAUGCAGUGUACCCGCGGCUAGACGGAAAGACCCCGUGAACCUUUACUGCAGCUUGACACUGAACUUUGACCUUACUUGUGUAGGAUAGGUGGGAGGCUUUGAAGCUGGAACGCUAGUUCCAGUGGAGCCGUCCUUGAAAUACCACCCUGGUAAUGUUGAGGUUCUAACUCUGUCCCGUGAUCCGGGACGAGGACCGUGUCUGGUGGGUAGUUUGACUGGGGCGGUCUCCUCCUAAAGAGUAACGGAGGAGUACGAAGGUGCGCUCAGCGUGGUCGGAAAUCACGCGUAGAGUAUAAAGGCAAAAGCGCGCUUAACUGCGAGACCCACAAGUCGAGCAGGUACGAAAGUAGGUCUUAGUGAUCCGGUGGUUCUGUAUGGAAGGGCCAUCGCUCAACGGAUAAAAGGUACUCUGGGGAUAACAGGCUGAUACCGCCCAAGAGUUCAUAUCGACGGCGGUGUUUGGCACCUCGAUGUCGGCUCAUCUCAUCCUGGGGCUGAAGCAGGUCCCAAGGGUAUGGCUGUUCGCCAUUUAAAGAGGUACGCGAGCUGGGUUUAGAACGUCGUGAGACAGUUCGGUCCCUAUCUACCGUGGGCGCUGGAAAUUUGAGAGGAUCUGCUCCUAGUACGAGAGGACCAGAGUGGACGAACCUCUGGUGUACCGGUUGUGACGCCAGUCGCAUCGCCGGGUAGCUAUGUUCGGAAGGGAUAACCGCUGAAAGCAUCUAAGCGGGAAGCCUACCUCAAGAUAAGAUUUCCCUAGGACUUUAUGUCCUCUAAAGAGCCGUUCGAGACUAGGACGUUGAUAGGUUGGAUGUGGAAGCAUAGUGAUAUGUGAAGCUGACCAAUACUAAUUGCUCGUGAGGCUUGACUAUACAACACCCAAGCAGUUG
rnacentral:rRNA from 1 species